rnacentral:hammerhead_ribozyme from 1 species
AUCCAAACGAUGAGUCAAAAAUAAGACGAAACACGCGUCAAACUGGAU